AUGGCUCGCAUGGCGGUGUCGGUGCUGGCGAUCCUGCUCGCCUCGUGUGCCCUGGCGGCGGCGAGCUUCGACAAGGAGUUCGACGUCACCUGGGGUGACGGGCGCGGCAAGAUCCUCAACAACGGCCAGCUCCUCACGCUGGGGCUCGAUAAGAUCUCCGGCUCCGGGUUCCAGUCCAAGCACGAGUACCUCUACGGCAAGAUCGACAUGCAGCUCAAGCUCGUCUCCGGCAACUCCGCCGGCACCGUCACCGCAUACUACCUGUCGUCGCAGGGGCCGACGCACGACGAGAUCGACUUCGAGUUCCUGGGCAACGUCACCGGCGAGCCCUACACGCUGCACACCAACGUGUUCACGCAGGGGCAGGGCCAACGGGAGCAGCAGUUCCGCCUCUGGUUCGAUCCCACCAACGACUUCCACACCUACUCCAUCCUCUGGAACCCAAAGCACAUCAUCUUCAUGGUGGACGACAUGCCGAUCAGAGACUUCAAAAACCUUGAGGGAAAGGGGAUCGCCUUCCCCAAGAACCAGCCGAUGCGCCUCUACUCGAGCCUCUGGAACGCCGACGACUGGGCCACGCAGGGCGGCCGCGUCAAGACGGACUGGUCCCACGCGCCGUUCUCUGCUUCCUACCGCAGCUUCAAGGCCGAUGCGUGCGUGGUCACCGCGGCCGGCCGGCCGCGGUGCGGCGCCAGCAUUGGCACGGACGCGGCCCCAGGCACCGGCGGCGCGGCCGCGGCUGGCGACUGGUACAACCAGGAGCUGGAUCUGACACGACAGCAGCGCAUGCGUUGGGUGCAGAGCAAUUACAUGAUCUACAACUACUGCACUGACCCCAAGCGCAUCGCCAUGGGCGUCCCCGCCGAGUGCUCGAUGUAG
rnacentral:rRNA from 1 species